GCAAGUCGAGCGCGCCCUUCGGGGUGAGCGGCGGACGGGUGAGUAACGCGUGGGAACAUACCCUUCACUGCGGAAUAGCCUCUGGAAACGGAGAGUAAUACCGCAUACACCCUUCGGGGGAAAGAUUUAUCGGUGAGGGAUUGGCCCGCGUUGGAUUAGGUAGUUGGUGGGGUAAUGGCCCACCAAGCCGACGAUCCAUAGCUGGUUUGAGAGGGUGAUC
rnacentral:rRNA from 1 species